rnacentral:rRNA from 1 species
GGGCGAAAGCCUGAUGCAGCAACGCCGCGUGAGUGAUGAAGGCCUUCGGGUCGUAAAACUCUGUCCUCAAGGAAGAUAAUGACGGUACUUGAGGAGGAAGCCCCGGCUAACUACGUGCCAGCAGCCGCGGUAAUACGUAGGGGGCUAGCGUUAUCCGGAUUUACUGGGCGUAAAGGGUGCGUAGGCGGUCUUUCAAGUCAGGAGUGAAAGGCUACGGCUCAACCGUAGUAAGCUCUUGAAACUGGGAGACUUGAGUGCAGGAGAGGAGAGUGGAAUUCCUAGUGUAGCGGUGAAAUGCGUAGAUAUUAGGAGGAACACCAGUUGCGAAGGCGGCUCUCUGGACUGUAACUGACGCUGAGGCACGAAAGCGUGGGGAGCAAACAGGAUUAGAUACCCUGGUAGUCCACGCUGUAAACGAUGAGUAC